rnacentral:rRNA from 1 species
CGCUGGCGGCAUGCCUUACACAUGCAAGUCGAACGGCAGCACGGAGCUUGCUCUGGUGGCGAGUGGCGAACGGGUGAGUAAUAUAUCGGAACGUACCCUAGAGUGGGGGAUAACGUAGCGAAAGUUACGCUAAUACCGCAUACGAUCUAAGGAUGAAAGUGGGGGAUCGCAAGACCUCAUGCUCGUGGAGCGGCCGAUAUCUGAUUAGCUAGUUGGUAGGGUAAAAGCCUACCAAGGCAUCGAUCAGUAGCUGGUCUGAGAGGACGACCAGCCACACUGGAACUGAGACACGGUCCAGACUCCUACGGGAGGCAGCAGUGGGGAAUUUUGGACAAUGGGCGAAAGCCUGAUCCAGCAAUGCCGCGUGAGUGAAGAAGGCCUUCGGGUUGUAAAGCUCUUUUGUCAGGGAAGAAACGGUGAGAGCUAAUAUCUCUUGCUAAUGACGGUACCUGAAGAAUAAGCACCGGCUAACUACGUGCCAGCAGCCGCGGUAAUACGUAGGGUGCAAGCGUUAAUCGGAAUUACUGGGCGUAAAGCGUGCGCAGGCGGUUUUGUAAGUCUGAUGUGAAAUCCCCGGGCUCAACCUGGGAAUUGCAUUGGAGACUGCAAGGCUAGAAUCUGGCAGAGGGGGGUAGAAUUCCACGUGUAGCAGUGAAAUGCGUAGAUAUGUGGAGGAACACCGAUGGCGAAGGCAGCCCCCUGGGUCAAGAUUGACGCUCAUGCACGAAAGCGUGGGGAGCAAACAGGAUUAGAUACCCUGGUAGUCCACGCCCUAAACGAUGUCUACUAGUUGUCGGGUCUUAAUUGACUUGGUAACGCAGCUAACGCGUGAAGUAGACCGCCUGGGGAGUACGGUCGCAAGAUUAAAACUCAAAGGAAUUGACGGGGACCCGCACAAGCGGUGGAUGAUGUGGAUUAAUUCGAUGCAACGCGAAAAACCUUACCUACCCUUGACAUGGCUGGAAUCCCCG